rnacentral:rRNA from 1 species
UGUUUCGGCUAGGGGGUCAUCCCGACUUACCAACCCGAUGCAAACUACGAAUACCGAAGAAUGUUAUCACGGGAGACACACGGCGGGUGCUAACGUCCGUCGUGAAGAGGGAAACAACCCAGACCGCCAGCUAAGGUCCCAAAGUCAUGGUUAAGUGGGAAACGAUGUGGGAAGGCACAGACAGCCAGGAUGUUGGCUUAGAAGCAGCCAUCAUUUAAAGAAAGCGUAAUAGCUCACUGGUCGAGUCGGCCUGCGCGGAAGAUGUAACGGGGCUAAACCAUGCACCGAAGCUGCGGCAGCGACACGAUGUGUUGUUGGGUAGGGGAGCGUUCUGUAAGCCUGCGAAGGUGACCUGUGAGGGUUGCUGGAGGUAUCAGAAGUGCGAAUGCUGACAUAAGUAACGAUAAAGCGGGUGAAAAGCCCGCUCGCCGGAAGACCAAGGGUUCCUGUCCAACGUUAAUCGGGGCAGGGUGAGUCGACCCCUAAGGCGAGGCCGAAAGGCGUAGUCGAUGGGAAACAGGUUAAUAUUCCUGUACUUGGUGUUACUGCGAAGGGGGGACGGAGAAGGCUAUGUUAGCCGGGCGACGGUUGUC